rnacentral:rRNA from 1 species
AUGUCCGAUUAGCUAGUUGGUGAGGUAAAGGCUCACCAAGGCGACGAUCGGUAGCUGGUCUGAGAGGAUAUCAGCCACACUGGAACUGAGACACGGUCCAGACUCCUACGGGAGGCAGCAGUGGGGAAUAUUGGACAAUGGGCGCAAGCCUGAUCCAGCUAUGCCGCGUGGGUGAAGAAUGCCUUCGGGUUGUAAAGCCCUUUUGUUGGGGAAGAAAAGCAAUUGGUUAAUACCUAGUUGUUAUGACGGUACCCAAAGAAUAAUCCCCGGCUAACUUCGUGCCAGCAGCCGCGGUAAUACGAAGGGUGCAAGCGUUACUCGGAAUUACUGGGCGUAAAGGGUGCGUAGGUGGUUAUUUAAGUCUGUUGUGAAAGCCCUGGGCUUAACCUGGGAAUGGCAGUGGAUACUGGAUAGCUAGAGUGUGGUAGAGGGUAGCGGAAUUCCUGGUGUAGCAGUGAAAUGCGUAGAGAUCAGGAGGAACAUCCGUGGCGAAGGCGGCUACCUGGGCCAACACUGACACUGAGGCACGAAAGCGUGGGGAGCAAACAGGAUUAGAUACCCUGGUAGCCCACGCCCUCAACAGACACA